AUUGAACGCUGGCGGCAGGCCUAACACAUGCAAGUCGAGCGGAUGAAGGGAGCUUGCUCCUGGAUUCAGCGGCGGACGGGUGAGUAAUGCCUAGGAAUCUGCCUGGUAGUGGGGGAUAACGUCCGGAAACGGGCGCUAAUACCUCAUACGUCCUGAGGGAGAAAGUGGGGGAUCUUCGGACCUCACGCUCUCAGAUGAGCCUAGGUCGGAUUAGCUAGUUGGUGGGGUAAAGGCCUACCAAGCCGACGAUCCGUAACUGGUCUGAGAGGAUGAUCAGUCACACUGGAACUGAGACACGGUCCAGACUGCUACGGGAGGCAGCAGGGGGGAAUAUUGGACAAGGGGCGAAAGCCUGAACCAGCCAUGCCGCGUGUGUGAAGAAGGUCUUCGGAUUGUAAAGAACGUUAAGUUGGGAGGAAGGGCAGUAAGUUAAUACCGUGCUGUUUUGACGUUACCAACAGAAUAAGCGCCGGCUAACUUCGUGC
rnacentral:rRNA from 1 species